GCUGAAUCUGGCAUAAGUGUAGUAUGUAAUACUCCUGGAAUUGUUCUAACCAAUGUUGCGAGGGAUCUUCCCCAGUUUUUGCAAGUUGGCUAUCGUCUAAUACCCUAUUUUAUAUUCAAUGCUGAAGAAGGCUCUCGAAGUACCUUGUUUGCAGCUACAGAUCCUCAAAUUUCCGAGUACUGUGAAAUGCUGAAAGCAGAUGACUGGCCAGUGUGUGCAUACAUUUCCCAUGAUUGUCGUCCCACAAAUGCUUCUGAAGAAGCCCAUAAUAUUGAAACUUCUUACAAAGUCUGGGAGAAGACUCUGGAAUUGGUUGGCCUUCCUUCAGAUGCAGUAGAGAGGCUUAUAGAAGGGGAAGAAAUUAAAUGCCGGUAUGGGAACUCCCAGGAGUAACUCUUCAGCACUCGAUAAAGUUGUCAUGCCUCCAAUUCUCUUCUCUUGAUCUAUUUCAGAAAAGGAACAAAGUAGAAACCUGUAUUACGUGAAAAGAAGUUUUUGGCUUUUUGCUUCUAAUUCAGCUUCUAGACAUGCAACUGAUGACAUAUCAAGAGGCAUGGAGUUCUUAUGUCCUUAG
rnacentral:misc_RNA from 1 species